AGAGUUUGAUCAUGGCUCAGGACGAACGCUGGCGGCACGCUUAACACAUGCAAGUCGAACGAGAGAAGAGGAGCUUGCUUUUCUGAUCUAGUGGCGGACGGGUGAGUAACACGUGAGCAAUCUGCCUUUCAGAGGGGGAUACCGAUUGGAAACGAUCGUUAAUACCGCAUAACAUAAUUGAACCGCAUGAUUUGAUUAUCAAAGAUUUAUCGCUGAAAGAUGAGCUCGCGUCUGAUUAGCUAGUUGGUAAGGUAACGGCUUACCAAGGCGACGAUCAGUAGCCGGACUGAGAGGUUGAUCGGCCACAUUGGGACUGAGACACGGCCCAGACUCCUACGGGAGGCAGCAGUGGGGAAUAUUGCACAAUGGAGGAAACUCUGAUGCAGCGAUGCCGCGUGAGGGAAGAAGGUUUUAGGAUUGUAAACCUCUGUCUUCAGGGACGAAAAAAGACGGUACCUGAGGAGGAAGCUCCGGCUAACUACGUGCCAGCAGCCGCGGUAAUACGUAGGGAGCGAGCGUUGUCCGGAAUUACUGGGUGUAAAGGGAGCGUAGGCGGGAUCGCAAGUCAGAUGUGAAAACUAUGGGCUUAACCCAUAAACUGCAUUUGAAACUGUGGUUCUUGAGUGAAGUAGAGGUAAGCGGAAUUCCUAGUGUAGCGGUGAAAUGCGUAGAUAUUAGGAGGAACAUCAGUGGCGAAGGCGGCUUACUGGGCUUUAACUGACGCUGAGGCUCGAAAGCGUGGGGAGCAAACAGGAUUAGAUACCCUGGUAGUCCACGCCGUAAACGAUGAUUACUAGGUGUGGGGGGACUGACCCCUUCCGUGCCGCAGCAAACGCAAUAAGUAAUCCACCUGGGGAGUACGACCGCAAGGUUGAAACUCAAAGGAAUUGACGGGGGCCCGCACAAGCAGUGGAGUAUGUGGAUUAAUUCGAAGCAACGCGAAAAACCUUACCAGGUCUUGACAUCGUAUGCAUAGCUCAGAGAUGAGUGAAAUCUCUUCGGAGACAUAUAGACAGGUGGUGCAUGGUUGUCGUCAGCUCGUGUCGUGAGAUGUUGGGUUAAGUCCCGCAACGAGCGCAACCCUUACUGUUAGUUGCUACGCAAGAGCACUCUAGCAGGACUGCCGUUGACAAAACGGAGGAAGGUGGGGAUGACGUCAAAUCAUCAUGCCCCUUAUGACCUGGGCCUCACACGUACUACAAUGGCUGUCAACAGAGGGAAGCAAAGCCGCGAGGUGGAGCGAACCCCUAAAAGCAGUCUUAGUUCGGAUUGUAGGCUGCAACCCGCCUACAUGAAGUCGGAAUUGCUAGUAAUCGCAGAUCAGCAUGCUGCGGUGAAUACGUUCCCGGGCCUUGUACACACCGCCCGUCACGCCAUGGGAGUCGGUAACACCCGAAGCCUGUAGUCUAACCGCAAGGAGGACGCAGUCGAAGGUGGGAUUGAUGACUGGGGUGAAGUCGUAACAAGGUA
rnacentral:rRNA from 1 species